GAAUGUGAGGUCCAUCUUGCUUGACAACUUUUACCCCAUUGAUGGACAGGGUUGAUUCCGCAGAUCUGGCUGGCUAGGUGGUUGUCCCCUUCCUCCCUCACCACUCCAUGUGCAUUCCCUCCCAAAGAUGUGUGCUCUCUCAAAAGAGGAUGACCUUCCCCACUAUGGAGGAACAUUCCUCAGUCAAGGGUAUAUGAGUAGCAGAGGUCCCUUGCUAGAACCUCCAAACAAGAACUCAAGAAGAAAUCAGGCCGGCACCGCGGCUCACUAGGCUAAUCCUCUGCCUGCGGCACCGGCACACCGGG
rnacentral:snRNA from 1 species